rnacentral:lncRNA from 1 species
GCUCUUCUGGUUCUUAGGCCUUAAGACUCACCAUCUGCUAUCCUGAGUCUCCAGAUUUUGAAUGCAGAUCUUGGGACUUGUCAGCCUGCAUAAUCAUGUGAGUUAAUUCUUUAUUUUCUACACACACACACAUACAUACAUACAUCCAAUAUGGUUCUGUUUCUCCAGAGAAGCUAAUAAGACUAAUAAUAUUAGUCUCUAACUAAUAUACCCAGAGACUUCUAGGAUUUGAUUACCAUCCUUGAAUUGAUGAGGGACCGUAAAAAACAAUGUAUACAGGGUAGGUUUUUAAAUCCGUGGAAUGGAAGGUAGUUAACCUUAUUGACAAGAAAUUCCUUCUGUGCUAGGUUGUUUGAAUGAAUCCGAAGUGAAAGCUGUUGUUUCUGCUUCCAAAAAGGCUUGAUCUCAGUUUGUCACUUGCCUGCAAUGUUUUCCAUUACUGUGCACUGUUUGAAAAUGCCUUGAUGGCGAUAAUCAUUGGGCUCCUGGAGUGUGAUCAGUGUGGAGACUGCUGUAGCUGAGACCAAAGAAGUGACUUCAGGAUCAGCAUUUUAGGUAGCAAAACAGGUCUACUUCUCAUUAUAAAUAUAUAUGUAUAUAUAUGCAUAUAUAUAUACAGACAUACAGAAAUAUGUAAUUUGAACAGCUUGGAGGAGAAGAUUUAUGGAAGACAUGAACAUACGAAGAUCCUGAAGAAGACUAAUGCACCCCAUUUAUGUAGUCUGAAGUUUAUAGCUGCUCUCAUUAAACAGCUGGCCUGGACUAAGCUGCAAGAGUUUUUGGUACUGCUAUGAAAAUGUGUUUGACCCAUUAGGGUUGCUCCCAAAACUGGCCAGGAAGCAUCAUCCUAUGUCACUGUUUCUCAUUUAAUAAUGAACAGAACUCACUUGAAAAUGAAUAGCUUCUGCAGUGUUGAAUAUCUUCGUUUGGGCUGCUGUAACAAAAUAUAAAGUAGAUAGGCUUAUAAACAACAUGGCCUUCUCUGUCUCUCAUUUCUUCAUUAAUAUAGCUAGGG